UGACAUAUUCUUAUAAACAUAUGAGCAUAGAGAAGAGAAUAGAAAACCCCCCAAGAGUGCAUCACCAGUGCCCAUGAUAUCCGAGACACAGCAUCCGAGACACAGCUAACUGACCGUCUUGUCUUUUCUAAGUAAACUUAUAUAGCUUCAUGUAGUUUAAGUGAAGCCAUGUAGCAUAUCGGAUUACCGCUGACCCUUGAACAACUGGGUUUGACAUUAGAGGGUCCACUUAUACACAGAUUCUUUUCAACCUCAGAAAUCCAGUACUGGUGGGAGGUGAAGUUGGCGUAUAUGGAGGGCUGACUUUCCAUGCACCUGCGUUCCACGGGUGGGCUGUGGGACUUGAGGGUGCUCGGAUUUUGGCAUUCUGGGGGUCCUGGAACCCAUCCCCUGAGUGUACUGAGGGUUGACUGCAAUUCCUAAAUUGAAUGUUCUACCAGUAUUUCCUGGUUUAAUUAUGUUUAUCCCACAUAGUUUUAAUUUAACAUUUUAAAUGAUUUCAACAAAUACUCCGAGUCCCUUUCAUAUGCACAGUCUUAGGUGUGUGGCUUGUGAAGACAGGGUGAGCACACUGCCUCCUGUCCCGAGGGACCCACUCUGGCUGGGAGCAAUGAGGGGCAGUAGAACCCGCUGAUGUCCUGGCAGGGCCCACGCCUGAGCUCCUGGUAAGGAGCAGGCCCCUGGCUGCUUCCACAGUGCUCAUUCUUGUUGACAAGCAUGGGGUGGGGGUGCGCCCUGUCCCUGGCUCUGCCCUGGUGGGGACCCCGGAACUCUG
rnacentral:lncRNA from 10 species